rnacentral:rRNA from 1 species
AUUGAACGCUGGCGGCAGGCCUAACACAUGCAAGUCGAAUGGUAACAGGAAACAGCUUGCUGUUUCGCUGACGAGUGGCGGACGGGUGAGUAAUGUCUGGGAAACUGCCUGAUGGAGGGGGAUAACUACUGGAAACGGUAGCUAAUACCGCAUAACGUCGCAAGACCAAAGAGGGGGGACCCUUCGGGCCUCUUGCCAUCAGAUGUGCCCAGAUGGGAUUAGCUAGUAGGUGGGGUAACGGCUCACCUAGGCGACGAUCCCUAGCUGGUCUGAGAGGAUGACCAGCCACACUGGAACUGAGACACGGUCCAGACUCCUACGGGAGGCAGCAGUGGGGAAUAUUGCACAAUGGGCGCAAGCCUGAUGCAGCCAUGCCGCGUGUAUGAAGAAGGCCUUCGGUUGUAAAGUACUUUUCCAGACGGGGAGGAAGGGGAGUAAAGUUUAAGU